GCCCUCCCGAUGCUUACCGCAGCCAGCGCGGCUCCUAGCGCUGCCUGUACAGAAGAGGGAGGUACAGCAUCCGUCCUUCCUACACCACAGCCAGGGAGGCUGUGACCCGGCUGUAUUGUGACCAAGGCGACACUG
rfam:Alligator mississippiensis ScZkoYb_944, whole genome shotgun sequence.